AGUGUGGCCGAGUGGUUAAGACGGUAGACUUGAAAUCU
rnacentral:tRNA from 1 species